CCCGACUGCUAUCGGGCUGGGACUAAGACAUGCAAGUCGUGCGCCGACGCCAUGCCCGUCGGCGCGGCGGACGGCUCCGUAACACGUCGCCAACCGAACCUCGGGAGGGGGACACCCUCGGGAAACUGAGGGUAAUCCCCCAUAGGGGUGGGCAGGUGGAAUCCCCCCACCCCGAAAGGGGUACCCAGGGCAAUGGCCGGGUACCCGCCCGAGGACGGGGCGGCGGCCCAUCAGGUAGUAGGUGGGGUAACGGCCCACCUAGCCUAUGACGGGUACGGGCGCUGGGAGGCGGAGCCCGGAGAGGGGCACUGAGACAAGGGCCUCAGCCCUACGGGGUGCAGCAGUCGCGAAACCUCCGCAAUGCGCGAAAGCGCGACGGGGUCAGCCCGAGUGCCACCCGAGAGGGUGGCUGUGGCCCGCCGUAAAAAAGCGGGCUUAGAAAGCGGAGGGCAAGGCUGGUGCCAGCCGCCGCGGUAAAACCAGCUCCGCGAGUGGUCGGGGCGUUUGCUGGGCCUAAAGGGUCCGUAGGCGGCCCCGUGUGUCCGCGGCUAAAUCCCGGCUCUUAAGGCCGGGACUGCUGCGGAUACUACGGGGCUAGGGACCGGGAGAGGCCGGGGGUACCUCCGGGGUAGGGGCGAAAUCCUGAGAUCCCGGAGGGACCAACAGUGGCGAAGGCGCCCGGCUGGAACGGCUCCGACGCUGAGGGACGAAAGCCAGGGGAGCGAAGGGGAUUAGAUACCCCCGUAGUCCUGGCUGUAAACGAUGCCCGCUAGGUGUUGGACCGGCUACGAGCCGGUCCAGUGCCUGAAGGGAAGCCGUUAAGCGGGCCGCCGGGGGAGUACGCCCGCAAGGGUGAAACUUAAAGGAAUUGGCGGGGGUCCACACAAGGGGAGGAGCCUGCGGCUU
rnacentral:rRNA from 1 species